rnacentral:lncRNA from 1 species
AGAAACGGUCAGACUGUUUUCCAAAGCCUUGGGCCACUUCAACCUCUCAUCAGCAAUGGAUGAGAGGCCAGCUGCUUCCCAGCCACGCCAGCACUUAACUUUGCCAUUUAUUUCAGUUUAGCCAUCCCAGUGGGUCUGAAGGGCUAGCUAGCUUAUGGAAGCUUGUGUGUGUGUGUAUGUGGCAGGGAUUGAACCCAGGGGCGCUUAACCACUGAAGCACAUCCCCAGCCUUUUUUUGUAUUUUAUUUUUUUUUAUAUUUAUAUUUUAGGGGUAGAUGGACACAACACAAUGCCUUUAUUUUUAUGUGGUGCUGAGGAUUGAACCCGGGUCCCGCCCGUGCUAGGCGAGUGCUCUACCACUGAGCCAUAAUCCCAGCCCCUUUUUUUGUAUUUUAUUUAGAGACAGGGUCUCACUGAGUUGCUUAGGGCCUCGCUGAGUUGCUGAGGCUGGCUCUGAACUCUCAAUCCUCCUGCCUCAGCCUCCUGAGUCGCUGGGAUUAUAAGUGUGUGCCACUGUGCCCGGCCUUAUUGGGACUUUAAUUUGCAUUUGCAUGUUUUCCUGUGCUUCUUGGCCAUCUGAGCCUUUUCUCUGGGGGAUGGUCUGAUCAAGCCUUCCUUAUUUUAUGUCCCCAUCAUACGUUUCAUAGCCGCUGCCUCUGCCAUCUACAACCUCAGCAUUUUUUCGUUUGGAGUAACUAAAAAAUUCUUCAAAUUUGCCUUCCUCAUUCCAGGGACUUCUCGGUUGUGCCAGACAAACCUUCUUAAACACCACAGUACACACCUCACUCCCUUGCUCUAAGACCUGCUACGGCUCCCCAAGUCUUCAGGGCCAGCCCCACUUCCUCAUCUGCCAUUCAAGGCAACUCCAGCCCCUGGCCUC